rnacentral:misc_RNA from 1 species
GGGAGGGGCUCAAAAAAUGUACAGUCAUGUAAAUGUUUCACAUUCAAAGUGGAAACUAGCUUUAUCUAACGAAAUGCUUCAACAGAAACAAGCAGUGUGUAUACAGACUUUAUAAUUACAAUAUAAUAUAUAAUACUUAUAAUUUAUCAAGCAUUUAUUAUAAUGGUCAUUAAAUAAAAAAAAAACAAUUUUUUUUCUGUUAAAGACGGAAUUUUUUUUUAUCAAUAAAUAUUGUAAAAAGAUUUGUGAGAAAGUAAGUUACAUUUUGAUGAUUUUUAAUUUAAUAAAUUAAAAACUUGUUCAACAAAUCCAGGUUUUUUUAAUACACACGGAGUUGGCUAUUGCGAUACACUGAACCAUGAAAGUGUAUUAAUUUUUUUUCUUCAGAAAGACACAAUGCACAGUGUCAACAGAUAUUCCUAAAAAAGUGAUUUAUAGGCUACCAAGUUCUAAUUAGUUAUUAUUAUUUUUUUGGGAUUUGUUGAAAACAAAAUUCUUUAUUUUGAGAAAGAUUUCAGACACAAAGUUUUGAUUUUUUAAGAUAGAAAGGUUCAUUUUUAAGUUAGAAAUGUUUUUAUAUAUAUAUUUUAUUCAUCAUAUUUAAGGUAUAGAUAUAUUCUUUUUCUGUUAAUGUUACAAAGGUUGCGUUGCGUUGUGUUUUUUUUUUUUUUGCAUGAAAUCAACAAAGUACAUUUUUUAUAUCUUAUUUGUUUUGUUCAUUUAUAGAAAAAAUAUUUAUACCGUUAUCAUAUUUUUUUUUGCUUUUUAUUUAUGCAUCCCAGAGGGAAAAUUAUAUAAAUGAAAUAAAGAUAUGAU